UAGUCCUGACUUUAACUUGACUUUCCAAGUUUUCCUCCUCCACACAUUUUUUUCUUUUGGUUUUGAAGUUACUUUUGUUUCGUGUGGUGGUAUGCCCUAACUCCUGACACCCACCCACGUGAGAGAAAGUAUAGUACGAGCCACUCUCUCUCCCCCACUUUCACUCUUUCAUUUCAGAUUUUCAGCCAUUGUCUUGGGUUUUGACAAUCACAUUGCCCAAACUCGCUAGUCUCCACCACAAAUGCCCCCACAUUGGAUUUCUUGCCAUCACUUUUGAGUCGCGAACUAUGCCAACAACGACAGUUUUCGCCAUUAAAAGUCCACCUCCUCCCUCAUUGUAAACUAUAAACAGAUAGUAUCAAACCAGCAGAGCUAUCACCAUCCCUUUUCUCUCUUGUCCUCAUCAGCCGAAUCUCACUCAGAUCGUUAAGCUAUUUGAACUAAAAGAAUGUGGGUUAGAAAUAAGAUAAAUCCCAGGCAAAGAAUGAAAAUGAGUCCGAGAGAGUUCAAAGAUGUCGAUCUACGCACCAGCCGAUAAUAUGUUGGAAUUGGGGGACUAGGAAAAAAGGGUCAUACUACUUGGUGGAUUCGGGCCUAUUAAUUGGCACUAGUUUUCUCUGCCCUUACAAGUCAACUAGGUACCAUACUCAGGAGUUUCGCUCAAGCAAUAGACGGCCAACACUGAAGAAAGAGUUGUAUAACUAUAGGUAGUCAUCCUUGUGGAUGGUUAUUGAGCGAUCUUUUGGAGUGCUGAAGGCUCGUUCCUCCAUUUUGAAUUUAAUACCAAACUUCAAGCGAAGUAGGCAGCGUUACGUCAUUGUUAUGCACUAUGCUCUACACAAUUUCAUACGCAUUAAUAAUCGAUGUGAUGAAUUGUUUAGCACAAUAAGAAGAGUGUUGUCAAAGGCAAUGAGACUAAUAUUGAAGGCAGUGGCGAUACUGGAGCAUCAACAAGCUUAGCAACCCAAAGGCAUGUAGUGGAAAUGUUAGAUGCAUUGAAGAGACUGAUGGCCUAAUUUAAGGACGAUAUUACUGACGCAAUGUGGGAUGAUUAUGUUGCAUGUGGCAAUUGACCAUUUACUUUGUUGCAAUUUAGAUACUAUCAUUUUGCAAUGUAAUUGUUUUGGUACUACUUUAUGUCAUGGAAUUACUGUUUACGUAAGCGGAUGUAGAACUUAGUUAAACUUGUAACGUUACUGCACUAUUUUGGAAUGACAUGACAACGUGUAGAGACACGGGUUGCAAUA